GACCACAAGCUGAUGAGAGUCGUGCCAUCUCAGAUCUACAACUGCUGGCCAAGCAGUUCCCUCCCAUCAGUGAGAUGGCACUUCUCCAAGAGUGGCAGAGCUACAAAGUCCUAAUAACAACCGGAAUACUGAAAGACAAGUCCCAGCUGGAGAUCAUGACAGCAAUGGCAUCUGGGUAUGAUGAGCUCCAUCUACUCUACCCAAACCUGUCCCUCCUCUCUGCAAUCGCCCUAACAAUACCAGUCUCCAGUGUGAAUUGUGAGAGGGAUUUCUCGGCGAUGAAUAGGAUCAAGACAGACCUAAGAAACAGGCUGCAGGGCAACAGUCUGACAGCCUGCAUGAAAAUGAGCAUCAAUGGUCCGCAGGUGAAAGACCUACAGUACAGCAGGGCCCUUGAGAUUUUUUUCAGCAAACCAAGGAGGAUUGCUUGUAGUGAUGCCACUUGUCAGCU